GAUGAACGCUGGCGGCGUGCCUAAUACAUGCAAGUCGAGCGAACAGACGAGGAGCUUGCUCCUCUGACGUUAGCGGCGGACGGGUGAGUAACACGUGGAUAACCUACCUAUAAGACUGGGAUAACUUCGGGAAACCGGAGCUAAUACCGGAUAAUAUAUUGAACCGCAUGGUUCAAUAGUGAAAGACGGUUUUGCUGUCACUUAUAGAUGGAUCCGCGCCGCUUUAGCUAGUUGGUCAGGUAAAGGCUUACGAAGGCAACGAUGCGUAGCCGACCUGAGAGGGUGGUCGGCCACACUGGAGCUGGGACGCGGUCCAGACUCCUACGGGAGGCAGCAGUAUGGAAUCUUCCGCAAUGGGCGAAAGCCUGACGGAGCGGCGCCGCGUGAGUGAUGAAGGUCUUCGGAUCGUAAAACUCUGUUAUUAGGGAAGAACAAAUGUGUAAGUAACUAUGCACGUCUUGACGGUACCUAGUCAGAAAGCCACGGCUAACUACGUG
rnacentral:rRNA from 1 species